rnacentral:tRNA from 1 species
CGGGGUAUAGCGCAGCCCGGUUAGCGCAUCUGGUUUGGGACCAGAGGGCCGUGUGUUCGAAUCACACUACCCCGA